CGGGACUCAUCCGAGGCCCCGUAAUCGGAAUGAGUACACUUUAAAUCCUUUAACGAGGACCAAUUGGAGGGCAAGUCUGGUGCCAGCAGCCGCGGUAAUUCCAGCUCCAAUAGCGUAUAUUAAAGUUGUUGCGGUUAAAAAGCUCGUAGUUGAAUCUGUGUGUCACAGUGUCGGUUCACCGCUCGCGGUGUUUAACUGGCAUUAUGUGAUACGUCCUAUCGGUGGGCUUAGCUCCUUGCGGGCGGUCCAACUAAUCUCCCAUCGCGGUGCUCUUCACUGAGUGUCGAGGUGGGCCGAUACGUUUACUUUGAACAAAUUAGAGUGCUUAAAGCAGGCUACCUUCGCCUGAAUACUGUGUGCAUGGAAUAAUGGAAUAGGACCUCGGUUCUAUUUUGUUGGUUUUCGGAGCCCCGAGGUAAUGAUUAAUAGGGACAGAUGGGGGCAUUCGUAUUGCGACGUUAGAGGUGAAAUUCUUGGAUCGUCGCAAGACGGACAGAAGCGAAAGCAUUUGCCAAAAAUGUUUUCAUUAAUCAAGAACGAAAGUUAGAGGUUCGAAGGCGAUCAGAUACCGCCCUAGUUCUAACCAUAAACGAUGCCAGCCAGCGAUCCGCCGAAGUUCUUCAGAUGACUCGGCGGGCAGCUUCCGGGAAACCAAAGCUUUUGGGUUCCGGGGGAAGUAUGGUUGCAAAGCUGAAACUUAAAGGAAUUGACGGAAGGGCACCACCAGGA
rnacentral:rRNA from 1 species